rnacentral:lncRNA from 1 species
CGAACUUUGGACAUAUUAGUUUGAAUCUGUCGUUCCAGGAGCUUUGCUCCUACACAGAUCUCGUAAAGACUGCAAGUGUACAAAAGGGUGCUUCCCAGUCUGGACCACAGGUUACAGGACAGUAGUAGAUCUAUUAUGUAGAAUAGUUCUGUGCUUUGAGGUUUUCCUCCAUAGCAGAUCAUGUACCUUCUGAUAAUAAAACAACAACAACAAAGAAAAGCCACCACUUGAAACUGGGGAAGUAAUUCCUUUGGGUUAUUCAGCUCACCAGCUGCAUUCAGUGCCUGACAAGUAUUCCUCCUAGGGGGCUGUAUGGAUGCACUCUAAACUUCUCUACGCCCUCAGGAGAUGCCACUGCUGGACCACCUGCAGAGCAGAUCAUCUAUCUGUACACCCAUACAGCUGCGGGUGACCUAGAAUUACACAUCCUGAGAUCAUGCUGGACCAAAAUAAGGUAAUUUUUUAACUAAGUGUUGGUCUCAUGUCUGGCCAUAUUUCACGAUUAUCUUUGCCCUUUGGAUUCCUAAACCCUAGAGGCUGGGGAGGGCUGCUAUAGGCGUUAUUUGUGCUUCCCUUUGUUUUCUAUUUUGGAGUAGAAGAUUGAGAAUUCUUCUGGUGAUGUAUGGGACAAAAGCGUAGUUAUGAAAGAUGCAGCUGUGGCACUGUUACAAUUCGCUUGCCUUUGAAGGCCCUUUAGGAAGGGUUUCUGAUGUGAAGAAAUAAGAUUAAUCUCUGGCUUGAGAACUAAGCCAAAUGGCAGCUCCCGAAACACUGUAGGCUGUGAGCAAAAACCUGGAAUUGGAGGGAGCUGCACUGCUUGUUGCAAAACCAAGGAUGAAGCAGUUGUGGAGGAGGGACUCCUUCCUUUUGCCUUUGGCUUCUAUGGAUUAUUUUCAUGUGUCUGUUUCUUACCAGCAAGGCUGCUCUCUCAACAUUAUGAUACGAACUUGACUGGCUUGUUCAUAUGUAAAACAGAGUUAAAUGUAAAGCAGAGGACUUCUUGACAGGAGGGCAUCCAAAGAAGUUAAGCUGCUCCUCGUGUGGCUACAGCACAAUUUCAAGUGGCCUUUCCACCUCAGCUGUCAUGGAGCCCAAGGAAUGACUGAAGUAAAUGGAGACCGUGCUGGCUGGGCAGCUGUCUUCAGUCACUUCUCGCUUAGUCAACCCAGUGCGUGUGUUUGUGAAAUGCCACACUCUCCCAGGGAAAUCUCUGCCAGUACCGCACCAGCCUUACUUCUCCCAGCAUGUAAUGCAAAAUCCUCUGAUGGAGCCAAGGCCCACUGACCUCUUGGUUACGGCUAGCAUAACAGUUUGUUCCUUUUUCUUUGCAGUGACUUGUUUUAUUUUCUGGAAGAAUGUUAUGUGUCAUUCUGCUCUGCCUUCUCUUUAGGUUAAACCCCACAUCGUUUCCUCCCAUGCCCAGUUUUCUAGAGCCCUGAUGGUUCCUAUUCUUCUUGUGUUGUGGGAUGUUUUUUGUUCCUGUUUCCCCACUUGGCUGCUCCUUCUGGUGUGAAGUACACAAACAGAACAAACACAGCCUACAGUGCUGUCUCAGGAAUGAGGCUGGAGUUCAUAUCAUACACCUGUCACUCCUUCUGGCAGUGUUUCCUUAUUUUCUUGAACGCUCUGAGGUAGAUUUAGGCACCUUAGAAGGCUGCUGAAGUUCAUGGACCUUUACAAAUAAUGCAUGGGGGAGUCAGUCUGGACUGCCAAUACCACAGAGGAGUUCUGCCAUGCCUGUCACUGCUGCAGGGGCUGUGAACGUUUUAAAUUGCUUCAGAAUGUCAGCAGCCAUUCGUCCGUGGGACUGUUUGUAUGCCCAGCUGCAGCUGAUGCGGGUGCGGGCGCUAGAGCCGGCCUGGCGGGGCAGCGGCACGGCACGGCACGGCACGGCACGGCAGUCACACGGGACGCGCAGUUUGAGGUCUCGGGCAGCUUCUGCAGCGGGUGUCUCAGACCGUGGGUUUAAAGCCGCAGCACGCCGGACGGGGGCAGCUCGGGGCAGGCCGUGAUGCCGCAAGGCAGCGCCUGCGGUCACCCAACGCCGCGGCCGCGAUCUCCUUCUGCCGCGGGGAUGCUGCCGUGUGCACCCAGGCGCGUUAAAAGCGAGAGAAGCAGCGGUGGUGCCUGCGGGGCUUCGCCACAG